GGCUUUUUGAUAUUAAUUUAAGGUCUAACCUGCCCACUGAGGAGUUUAAGGGCCGCGGUAUUUUGACCGUGCUAAGGUAGCAUAAUCAUUAGUUUUUUAAAUGGAAGCUGGAAUGAAGGGUUGGAUAAGAAAAUGACUGUCUCUUUAAUAAUUAAAUUGAAUUUUAUUUUUAAAUAAAAAAGCUUAAAUGUAUUUAAAAGACGAGAAGACCCUAUAGAGUUUUAUAAAAUAUUAAAUAUUUUAUAUUUUAGGAAUUUUAGAUAAAAAUUUAAGUUUUAUUUGAUUGGGGUGAUUGAAAAAUUUAAAAAACUUUUUUAUUUAAAUUACAUAAAUUUAUGAAUAAUUGAUCCAUUAAUUAUGAUUAAAAGAUUAAAUUACCUUAGGGAUAACAGCGUUAUUUUUUUUGAGAGUUCUAAUCGAAAAAAAAGUUUGCGACCUCGAUGUUGGAUUAAAAUUUAUUUUUGGUGAAGAAGUUAAAAAUAUUAGGUCUGUUCGACCUUUAAAAUUUUACAUGA
rnacentral:rRNA from 1 species